UGAUAGGCUUGAGCUCGAAUAACCUCUCCAGAGGUAAAGCCAAGGUAGCAUCAAGGGAGGAGGGUAGUUUCAUUGCAUGCUCUUUUGUCAGUGCAAAAGUAGUGGCAUGAGAGGGAUUGACGCUUCACUUGGCCUGGUAGUGAGGCAGAAAUGGCAUUUUGUUGUCGGUUUAUGCUACAUUUGGGCACAAUACUAGCCUAUUAUUCAAGCAUUAAUCACAAUUUUGCGAUGCCUGUGAUUGUGCCAGAGCUUUGCCCCUCUAGCAUCAAAUAGCAACCCCAUUCCUUACACUGAAAAAAAGAAAUUGCAUUUUUGAUCCAGUAUUGCAGCACGGGGUGUACAUGUCUAGUUGGUGCUGGACAAAAUGGGCAAGUACUGCAUGCACAGGCUGUGGUGGUUCAUUGGUCGUGGCAUUGUGCUGCUGAGCACGAGGUCACAUGUUCAAUUCCUGUCCGUGUCUGUGCAUUUGACUUUUUCCAAAAUGAACUUGGGUUUGGCUGUUAUGAACCUGGAGUUCCCCGCUGUGGUGCCCCUCAUAGCCUGUGUAUUUCUUUGGGAUGUAAAACCCACUGACUUAAAUUAUUUAAUACAGGGUGUUAAAACCAACUGCUACAUGCCGCCUGUGUGCAUAGUUUAGGCGCAAACAAGCCAGUGGGCAAAUCAAAGAAGCAGCAUUACCUGUAUCCCUGAGUAACAUGACGUUUGGCAUGUUGGCGAUACUUUGCACUAUAAACAUUACUCUGACACAAUGAAUGCCUCUCAUCUCACCUGUGUUUUCUUACACCAUAUGAAAAAGAAGUGGUGUGUCAUUCUUGUAGCUUCUAAAUGAGAAUACAAAUGUGUUUAAAAUUGUGCCAUCGUGCAGAUGCUUUCAAGGAUGCUGUCUUGUAUAUAUGUUCUGUGACCAAUGCACUAGUGAAUAUGGACGACGUGGCCGGCCGGCAACUGUCAAGUAUCGGGCAUCGCUUCAGGGGCGCCUCUACCACUGCCACCAAUGUGAUUAUGCAACCCACAAACCAUCGAACCUUGUAGCACACAAUCGCAUUCACACAGGCGAGCGGCCAUUUCACUGCCACUUAUGCCCCCAGAGCUUCGCACACAAAUGCCAGCUCACGGUACACGUGCGCCUGCACAAAGGUGAGCGACCGUACCAGUGCCCCAUCUGCCCCUUGGCCUUUCUGCAGGCCAGUCAAAUGAAAUGUCACUUGAGGAGUCGUCACCCUGAUGCUACAUAGUGAGACAGUGCGUGUGUUAUCGCUAGUUGGUGCUCCAUGACUACGAGUGGCACAGUGCGAUUUCGGACACAGCCGGAAGAAAGUACACGCACAAGGACCCUUCGAAUGAAAUUCGAUAAUGACGUAAGUGGAGUUUAUGUACAAAUUGGCACAAGGAAAGCCAAUACCCAAACUUGUGUGAGCCCUUGGUAGUUGCAGUUCAUGUGCAGCAAUAGCUGGGGGACGCAGGUGCCUUUUCGAGAUAUUUAAAAGACAUUAGCACUUUUAGCAGUGGUGUGUAGAUCUUACAGAGAUCCACCCAACGUGAUGUGUGUUCCUGGUUUGAAAAGGUAUUGAGAUCUGGGUUUACUGGAUUGCCUGACCAAACAAGAUGCCGUGACCAGUUUCGCAAAGGUGCCCAUGUUUCUCUCUGAAGAUAAGAUUCAGUAUUCCAGAGGAUAUUCAAAUCAUCACCGAUGCUCUACUGUUGUGUUGUGUGGUGAGCAUGUGUUGUGUGGUAAGCAUGUGUUAUGUGAUGAGCAGUUGUUUGGACCCUUGUGUGCUUCCCUGGAGAGGCACCACCCUGCAUCAAGAUUCACUGACACCACCUCGCCCCAUGGGGUCAUGCCACCAGACAGGAAAAAGGACUCGGGACCGCACAAUGCAAAAAAGGCAUCAGCCAUCACCUCCAGGGCCCCCCUACUACUGCCACCAUUGUGAUUAUGUAGCUGACAGACCAUCAUCUCUAGUCAGGCACCGGGUCAUCCACACAGGCGAACGACCAUUCCAGUGCCACAUCUGCACUCGGAGCUUCUCUCAGAAGGCCCACCUCAAGUCACACAUGCGCACGCACACAGGCGAGCGACCUCUCCGCUGCUCUAUGUGUUCCAUGUCCUUCGUGCACUUUGUUCAACGGAGCAGACACAUGAGAAAGCAUCAUCGUCAACAGGAUACUGCACAGUGAAGUAGGCCAUCGCCGUUUUUCAAGUGGAUCUCAAAAAGGAACUUAAUGACAGGCCUAAGUGUGCGUGAAAAGGUCAAGACUUCAUCGUACACCAAGUAGGUGAAGUACCACCGCAUGCUGUCUUUCAUCAUAAUGCGAAGGCACCUCUCUGGACAAUGAAUUGAUCAAGGUGUUUGGUCAUGUUGAGAUGUAGCAUUUCUGCUACCAACAGAUUUUGGGUAUAUUGGAGUAUGAUGGAUGUUGUGUUUAAAAACAUAUUGACAUCUGUAAGUCCAAGUCAGGUUGUAUGCAAGUGAAUACAGUGUCAGUAUUCAGUAGAAUGAGCCACAUCCACUAAUCACAUUUAUUUUCAAGCUGUCCUUGCAAGUUCAUUGUUGUUAAUAAUCUUGGCCAUCUUUAUUUUGCAACAAGUGCCACUUGUAGUUGUUAAAUCUUGUUUUAUUUAUCCGUACCAUGCAGUGUUCCUUUAAGCCUUUGUGCAGCUAGGGUAUAUUGAGUGGUUGUCAGCAUAAAUUUGCCCACGCUUGUGUGAUUGCUACUGUCAGAGCUGCUGUUGCCAUGAAUGACAAGGGACUCUUCUUUGCUUGAGACAUCCCUUUAAGUUGAAGAUUGUCCUUGCAACUUCCCCUCUUAUUUUCCAUAGUUUUCAUAUGGUUACUGCUUCACAUGUUGGUGGUGUUUUUGCAGCAGCCUAUCUUGUAAACGCAGACACUAGUUCCAUUUCUCAUGGCAAUGCAAUUCAUUAUAUAACUAUGUUUUGUACAGUACACUACCGGUAAUUUGACUUCGGUUAAUUAUUUUUCGUUUUAUUCAAUCCUGACCAAAGCUUCAUGCCGUUGCCUGUACAUUUCUACGGGCCAAGACUGUCAUUUCAACCACAAGAUCAACCCUUACCAAAUAUUUAGACGAGCAUGCUGACCCCAGUGGGGAUUCCAGCUGUGAUUUAAAUGGCGUGAGCAUGUGACUUUGCAGCUCUAGAGGAAGUGCAUACGUCAAACACAAAUUAUCUUACAAAGAAAACACAUAUUUUUGGCCUGCCCUCAGCAUAUUUUCAAGUGAAAUUGAGAGAUAACAAUUAAUGGUUAUGGUAUUUAUCCAAUUCUAAUGUGUACCUUUUUCCCAAGAAAAUAGGUUUGAAUGGGGCCCGUGUGUUACUUCGAUAUAAACAUUAAACCGUGUUUGUGGCAUUGACAUUACCUUCCUGUCGGUGCCAUUGUCAUCCCCAUGACAUCACAAGAUGAUGAUGGAGCAAGUUUUUGUGCACUUUGGCAACGAUGACAUGCUGCUUUCAUUACAAAAGCUCAUUCAAAAGAGAAGUUAUUGUGCAUGCUAACCUAAUGGCAACAGAGCAUGCUCUCGGCAUGUCAGAGCCUUGCCUGUGUCAAAGGGUGAAGCUUUAAAAUUUUUAUUCGAGGUGGUAGCCAACUUCCCAUUCAUCAUGGUUGCAAUGACUAUAAAGAAAUGCAGAAUAUCAGAUGCAGUGGGUGGCACGGAAGAUGAUGUCGGGGCCCAUAGCAGUGUUAAAAGCUAGCUGUCUAAGAGUGACAGUGAUGGACAUUGUGGGUAAAUAAAUUUCCAUUGUCUGAAGAAAAGUUUUGCAGGUUCCAUCUUUUUCUGCUUGCCAUAAUUGCAGGCAUGCCACAUUUCUUAUUGUGAUAGCGAUUAUGUGGACACUCCAGGCAAAUUUUCGCCGUCACCAUCGCCAUUGUGACACCUCCUCACGUGCAUCUCCCCCUCUAGCCUUGCCGCACACUGCCGUGCCCUCUCUUGGAGAUAAUUUCUGGCAGGGCCAAAAGUUGGUGGCUGCAUGUACGCUGUCUUUGCGUGCACCUAAUGCUGGAGGUUAUGUAAUCUCAAGUUUUGGAGACAGUGAAGGGAGAGGCAGCAGAAGUAUUCGCUCCCCUCAGUUCGCGUUCAUCACGAUAGCGUUAUGAUGGUGUGUGCGUGCAGUCAUCGAAUGAGAUCAGUUCAUGUUUGCUUGUAUUUACAUGACACUAUGCUUGCUAAUUUAAUUAGUAAGUGAACCUUUACUGCAAUUAUAUGGCUGAUAAAACUAUGGUGCUUACAUUUUGCAGUUGUGUAAUAGGCAUUGUUAUUGCAAUGAAUGCGUCACCCUUCAGGCAAAGUGCAGCAUUUCUUGUUUUAAAAUGGGCUGAUUGUUGGAUUUGGGUGCACAUUGUGUUCCUUACAUUGAAACCAUAAAAAUUUAAUGCGUGCUAGGUUUGGGGGAGCAGUAGAAUUGGGUAAAUACUGCCAAUAAAGUUGUGUUAUGUUUUGAUCUUA